GCAGUCGGACGGCAGCAGGUCCUUCGGGAUGCUGGCGAGUGGCGGACGGGUGAGUAAUGCGUAGGAACCUAUCCUUUUGUGGGGGACAACCCAGGGAAACUUGGGCUAAUACCGCAUAAGCCCUGAGGGGGAAAGCGGGGGAUCUUCGGACCUCGUGCUGAAGGAGGGGCCUACGUCCGAUUAGCUAGUUGGUGGGGUAAAGGCCUACCAAGGCGACGAUCGGUAGCUGGUCUGAGAGGACGACCAGCCACACUGGGACUGAGACACGGCCCAGACUCCUACGGGAGGCAGCAGUGGGGAAUUUUUCGCAAUGGGGGCAACCCUGACGAAGCAAUGCCGCGUGGAUGAAGAAGGCCUUCGGGUUGUAAAGUUCUUUCGUGGGAGACGAAAAGGCAAGCGCUAAUAUCGUUUGCUGUUGACGUGAACCCAAGAAGAAGCACCGGCUAACUCCGUGCCAGCAGCCGCGGUAAUACGGAGGGUGCGAGCGUUAAUCGGAAUCACUGGGCGUAAAGGGCGCGUAGGCGGUUAGUUACGUCUGCCGUGAAAUCCCCGGGCUCAACCUGGGAAUGGCGGUGGAAACGGGCUGACUAGAGUAUGGGAGAGGGUGAUGGAAUUCCAGGUGUAGCGGUGAAAUGCGUA
rnacentral:rRNA from 1 species